UACGUAGGGUGCAAGCGUUGUCCGGAAUUAUUGGGCGUAAAGAGCUCGUAGGUGGUUUGUCGCGUUGUUCGUGAAAACUCACAGCUCAACUGUGGGCGUGCGGGCGAUACGGGCAGACUGGAGUACUGCAGGGGAGACUGGAAUUCCUGGUGUAGCGGUGGAAUGCGCAGAUAUCAGGAGGAACACCGGUGGCGAAGGCGGGUCUCUGGGCAGUAACUGACGCUGAGGAGCGAAAGCGUGGGGAGCAAACAGG
rnacentral:rRNA from 1 species